AUUGAACGCUGGCGGCAUGCUUUACACAUGCAAGUCGAGCGGCAGCGCGGGGGCAACCCUGGCGGCGAGCGGCGGACGGGUGAGUAGAGCAUCGGAACGUAUCCCGUAGUGGGGGACAACCCAGCGAAAGCUGGGCUAAUACCGCAUAUGCUCUACGGAGGAAAGUGGGGGACCUGCAAGGGCCUCACGCUAUGGGAGCGGCCGAUGUCCGAUUAGGUUGUUGGUGGGGUAAUGGCCCACCAAGCCGACGAUCGGUAGCUGGUCCGAGAGGAUGAUCAGCCACACUGGGACUGAGACACGGCCCAGACUCCUACGGGAGGCAGCAGUGGGGAAUUUUGGACAAUGGGGGCAACCCUGAUCCAGCCAUGCCGCGUGCGGGAAGAAGGCCUUCGGGUUGUAAACCGCUUUUGUCUGGGAAGAAAAGGCCAUCCCUAAUACGGGUGGUUCUUGACGGUACUGGAAGAAUAAGCACCGGCUAACUACGUGCCAGCCGCCGCGGUAACAC
rnacentral:rRNA from 1 species